CCUUGCCUUGCUGUAGUGAGAUAAAAGCUCAGCUGUACUCUUGCUUUCAGUGAUUCCACUUCUAAUUUCAUCUCCUGAAAACGAUGAGUCCUGUCCAGUCCCUGUUUUUAUUAUUGCUUUGGAUUCUGGGAACCAAAGGUGAUGUUGUGCUGACCCAGACUCCAUCCACAUUAUCGGCUACCAUUGGACAAUCGGUCUCCAUCUCUUGCAGGUCAAGUCAGAGUCUCUUAGAUAGUGCUGGAAACACCUAUUUAUAUUGGUAUCUACAGAGGCCUGGCCAAUCUCCACAGCUUCUAAUUUAUUUGGUAUCCAACCUGGGAUCUGGGGUCCCCAACAGGUUCAGUGGCAGUGGGUCAGGAACAGAUUUCACACUCAAAAUCAGUGGAGUGGAGGCUGAGGAUUUGGGAGUUUAUUACUGCAUGCAAGCUACCCAUGCUCCUCCCACAGUGAUACAGACCCUAACAAAAAAUGUCUUGCUUGAGGUAGCCCAGCUGCUAAUGUGCUGUUUAUAUGGAGAGGAGCAGAACACUCUGUGUCUGUGCAAGAGGAAGAGCAUGGGCAACAUGACUAAUUGUUGACAACUGAGAACUCUGGCUACACUCAUCUGGGUGGAUGAGUGGUUUAUUUAGACUUCCAAGUG